GUUGAAGCUGGCGGAGAGAAGGGAGAAUUACAGAUGCAAGACGUGAGCUGUUCCGGGAAGAGAGAGGUGGCACAUUGUUUGCGGACGCUGCUCUGAAUAGAGGCACUUCUUGAAUGUGGGAUGAUGAGCAAGCUACUGAUCUGAUCGCCUCGCGGUAACAAAUCAAUGAAGACUGUUCUGGGGCCCCUUUGCAUUCAAAGGAACUAGAGGAUGAG
rnacentral:lncRNA from 11 species